GUUUGUUUUGUCAACACAUAUACUAAUAUUAAAACAGUACAUAAAUGACUAGCAUGAAUCCUGUACAAAGAUUGUAUGAAAAUUUGUGAGGAGUUCCACAUUUUU